GUGAGUCAUCGAAUCUUUGAACGCACAUUGCGCCCUGUGGUAUUCCGCAGGGCAUGCCUGUUCGAGCGUCAUUUCAACCCUCAAGCCCUGCUUGGUGUUGGGCCCUGCCCGUUGCGGCCGGCCCUAAAGUCAGUGGCGGCGCCGUCUGGCUCUAAGCGUAGUACAUCUCUCGCUCUAGGGCCCCGCGGUGGCUUGCCAGCAACCCCAACUCCUAUGGUUGACCUCGGAUCAGGUAGGGAUACCCGCUGAACUUAAGCAUAUCAAUAAGCGGAGGA
rnacentral:misc_RNA from 1 species